rnacentral:rRNA from 1 species
AACGUAGGAGACGAGCGUUAUCCGGAAUUACUGGGCGUAAAGCGCGAGUAGGCGGCUUUUUAAGUGGUCUGUGAAAGCGUCCGGCUCAACUGGACGAGGCCGGAUCAGACUGGAAGGCUAGAGGGUCAGAGAGGCAGGCGGAAUUCCGGGUGUAGUGGUGAAAUGCGUAGAGAUCCGGAGGAACACCAGUGGCGAAGGCGGCCUGCUGGCUGACAACUGACGCUGAGGCGCGAAAGCAUGGGGAGCGAACGGGAUUAGAAACCCCAGUAGUCC